GAGAAUUUCUGUAGUCACAAUAUUGGAUUUUGUCAUCAAUACAUGUAAUAAUGUCUUAAAAUAUAGAGACUGUCAACAACACGUUGCCUUAAUGUAAAUGAACAAGAUGGCUCAAGAGAAACACACAAGAUUAUAAUAUAUAUUUUCCCCUUUCUCAGGAACCCAAGUGCAACAGGCCACAGACAACAGUCUCUUCUAUUGGGGGAUGAUAACAGGCGUUGCAGCAUGUGUAUCUGUCCUGGUGUUUGGUGGCGUAAUCAUGAGGAAAAUUAAUCUCAGGAGAACACAGCUACAAGUGUCUGGAACCGUCAACGAGGUGCCACAACACUGCUUGCCUGAGGAGCCACAGGACAUUGGGCCCUACAACAUGUUCACAAGGAGAGACAAUGGGCUUUACUCAACUCUCCAGCUGCCACAUCCUAACCCCUGA
rnacentral:lncRNA from 1 species